UAUAUAUUAUCUCGAUAUAUUUUGUUGUAAUAUAUAGUAUAAAAUCAAGUACAGUUGUUUUUCUUGGAUAUGACUUCUGUCAGGCCUACUUGUCCGUUUAUAAAUUAUGCGUAAUAUAUGGUAACGCCUUUUUCACUUCCCCUACUCAUUGUUAUUUGAUAGUGAGUGUUUGUGUGAAGAACAAUAAACGUCAUGUUGCUAUGCCAGUGAGAAAAGGAAACGUCGGCCAGUGACCGCGGUCAAGUGCAACAACAACAAAAAAUGUCCUGACACCUGUUAUAGAAGUAAUACAUUUGAGUGAAUGAAAAGGCAUAGACCUAAGUAAAAUAAGAAAUUCGUUUGUUGGGACUUGAUUGAGGCAGAAGAAUAGCCGAUUUACUUAUGGCAAGUCCGGAGAGAAAUAAGAAGAUUUUGCUUGAUAUGGUGAAACAGCCCAGCAACGACCAUUGUGCCGACUGUGGGGCCCCUGAGCCAGACUGGGCCUCAUACAAACUUGGUGUGUUUGUAUGUGUGAACUGUUCUGGGACACAUCGGGACUUUCCUGCCAUCAGCCAGAUAAAGUCCAUACGCUUGGAUUUCUGGGAUGAUUCCCUAGUAGAGUUUAUGAAGACAAGGGGUAACGCAGCAGUCAAUGCGUUCUAUGAGAAGUGUGUUCCUCCCUUCUACUACCGGCCACAGGAGAAGGACUGUGUUGUUCUUAAAGAUCAGUGGAUACGUGCUAAGUAUGAGAGGAGAGAAUUCACAGGAGAGAACAACUCCCUUCAACAAGUUUAUAGUUCAGGACUUUACGAAGGAAUACUAUGGAAGAAAGGCAAGGACAACAAGCAGUUCCUGAAAAGGAGAUUCCUGCUCUCUGAAACUGACUUUACCUUGAGAUACUUCACCAAGGAGGAUUCCAAGAAGCCCAAAGCAGUCAUCUCUAUGAAGGACCUCAAUGCCGUGUUCCAGCCGGAAAAGAUAGGCCACGCCCACGGGCUGCAAAUCUCCUACCUGGAGGAAGAACAGACCAGAAACCUGUUUGUUUACCAUGACAACAGCCAGGAAAUUGUGUCCUGUUUCAAUGCGAUUCGGGCCACCCGGUUUGCUUACCUCAAGAAAGUCGACCCUAAUGCCAGGGAGUGUGACCUCGUACCUUUGAUAACCAGAAGUAGCAUUAAAGAAGGCUACAUGGAGAAAACCGGCCCAACGCAAUGGGAGACAUUCAAGAAGAGAUGGUUCGUCUUAAACUUAACGGACAGAAAGAUGUCCUACUUCAAAACUUCACUGGAUGCUUUGGAACUAGGAGCUGUCUUCAUCGGCACAGAGGUCCAUGGCUACUCUGUGAGGGAGGUCCAGCCUAAGGGGAACCGCAGUGGCAGGUGGAGGUUCGGGGUCACCUUGGAGACGCCAGACAGGCAGUUUGUCUUCCUGUGUGACCAGGAGCAGGACCAGAGGGAGUGGAUAGAAGCCUUCAAACUAGUAAUCUCCCAGCCUAUGCUACCGCAGCACUACAACACUGAGGCAAACAUGAGAAGGAUGACAAAAUGAAUGGUGUAUAAACCGGAGGAAAGGAAAGCCGCAUUUACAGGAAGAAAUGGCAAUGUGUGAGGCUGGCUGCCUGUUUCAGAGAGCCUACCAGUGACAGGAGGAGGCUUCUCACAAGAGGGGAUCAGUGAACUCUUCAAUGGAGUCAUGUUUAUCGGAAAAUGAUGAGAGGCUAAAUGAACUCAGGCUAAAGAGGCUAAACGAAAUGAAGAGCUGCCAAUGUGGACCAGCACUGGUAAUCAUUGCAAGUCACCAUUGUCCAGGGCACCUUGCAAACCGGUGACAGGACUGACUAUUAUGAGAUGGGAACUGAUGUCAUUGUCGGGGACAUUGGGAAUACCCUUGCCUGUCCUGACUCUGAGCCUGCCUGCCUGACCACUCUGCCUGCCCCUGACCCUGAGCAUGCCUGCCGUCCUGUACCGUUGCCCAAUACUCUGGAUUAUCGACCCCUGCCUGCCUUGAUCUGUCGUUUGCCUACCACUAUUACUGUAAUAAAAAAAAUCUUCAACACAGUCUGCAUUGGGGUCUUACCUGAAACCUAAUAUCUCUACCAGACCUGGCCCAUCACAGCACACUGUCGAGGGUAGUGCACCACAUGAUGCAGUCCACACCAUGCAUCAUUCACAUCAUCAGCCCUCAUAUGCUGAGAGUUUGGAGCUUCGCCAGCCACACUGCCCUCCACACCACCCUCCUCAAUUCCCGCCACAACCUCUCUCCCAGGCUAGUUUCGGUUUCCCUCCCUACUCCCAUCCCCAGGUCAGGCCUGAGACACUCCUGCCCCCCAUGGAAGCCCCAACCCUUCAAACAGGAGCCACACCAAGGCCUCCUGUGCACACCCAGAAUGCAGCACUGCCAACCACUCUGGUCCUCUGUAGCAGCUCCACUCCUUUGGUGGGAGCUUCAUCUGUGUGGACUGAGCUCUGCCAACACUGCUCUCCCAGUUCCCGGCCCAGCCUCUGCGUCCUGUGACUUGAGGGACGACUGCCAAAUGCUCAGUUUCUUCUGCUCUCACGUGGUUGCCAGGGGCCUUGGCAAAGGUUCAGCUCACUCAAAAAAUAGUUACAGAUGAUCUUAUGCCUGUUAACUCUUAUGUGAAUAAGCUGAAUACGCCCUCUGACUUUAAAUCUCGAAGGGGGCUUGGGAUAAUGCACCUAAAUGUGCAAAGUAUGAUUUUAAAAAUGAACACAAUUUACAUUUGCGUACAAGACUAGUGUCCUGACGUUCUGGUUCUCUCGGAAACAUGGUUCAAUGGUUCUGUCUUUGAUAAAGACAUUGAAGUAAAUUAUUAUAAUGUAUUUAGAUGUGACAGAUUACAGAAAGGGGGAGGAGUGGCCAUAUGUCAAAUAUAACUCACGGUGUCAUAAGAAAAAAUGCACCCCCCUCCCCAACAUUAAAAAUAUUUUCACACGACCCUCCCCUUUUACUGUGAAAUACAUUUAACACCCUCCCCCCUCAUAGUAUGAACUAAAAAUAAUGAUUUUGACCACAAGUAACAAUAACUGUACUGACCCUAUGUUCAUAAAUGUUGAAAUUGAAUUUGCCCCUUCAGAAUACUUUUGUAGCUCAGUUGAUGCCAUACAGGGCUACUUGGACUGACCCCAUUUUGGUUGACUGAGAUUUCUCGGGAUUGAGAAGUCUCAAAUAUACACUACCAGUCAAAAGUAUGGAAACACCUACUCAUUCUAGGGUUUUUCUUU